CUAUAUGGGUAUGCCCUUCAUCUGAAAGAUCCCCAGAGCAGGGAGACCCUCACUCAAGUCUCGGGAUGACGCGACCCCCCUGCCAAGAACUCACACAAGACC
rnacentral:pre_miRNA from 14 species